rnacentral:rRNA from 1 species
CUCUGUGACUCCUACGGGGAGGCAGCAGUGGGGGAAUAUUGCACAAUGGGCGCAAGCCUGAUGCAGCCAUGCCGCGUGUGUGAAGAAGGCCUUCGGGUUGUAAAGCACUUUCAGUCGUGAGGAAGGUAGUGUAGUUAAUAGCUGCAUUAUUUGACGUUUAGCGACAGAAGAAGCACCGGCUAACUCCGUGCCAGCAGCCGCGGUAAUACGGAGGGUGCGAGCGUUAAUCGGAAUUACUGGGCGUAAAGCGCAUGCAGGUGGUUUGUUAAGUCAGAUGUGAAAGCCCGGGGCGUCAACCUCGGAAUUGCAUUUGAAACUGGCAGACUAGAGUACUGUAGAGGGGGGUAGGAAUUUCAGGUGUAGCGGUGAAAUGCGUAGAGAUCUGAAGGAAUACCGGUGGCGAAGGCGGCCCCCUGGACAGAUACUGACACUCAGAUGCGAAAGCGUGGGGAGCAAACAGGAUUAGAUACCCUGGUAG